rnacentral:precursor_RNA from 1 species
CUGUGCGUGUGACAGCGGCUGAUCUGUCCCUGGGCAGCACAACC